CAUAAAGCAGUGAAGAGGAUAAGUAGUCUUUGGAAAAGUAUUCAACAGAGAACCGGGGUAGCUGGAAGCCGGUGAUACUCCCAAAUGAUGAACUCGCCUCUGAGUGUUAAUCUGAAUGUUAGUAAGAUUAACCGGGUCCCAUUCUUCGGUACUCGUUAUCAAAGUGAACAGUAAAUCUGUUCGUAAGGUGGUCGCUUUUUGACCAUGAAGAAGGGUGGUACCGCGAAAAAGUUUAUUAACCUUUUUGCCCCUUUG
rnacentral:ncRNA from 1 species